rnacentral:rRNA from 1 species
GAUGAACGCUGGCGGCGUGCUUAACACAUGCAAGUCGAACGAAGUUAUAGGAGAGCUUGCUCUAAUAUAACUUAGUGGCGGACGGGUGAGUAACGUGUGGGCAACCUACCUUUUACAGGGGAAUAAUCACUGGAAACGGUGACUAAUACCGCAUAAUAGUAUUACAAGGCAUCUUGUGAUAGGGAAAGGAGUAAUCCGGUAAAAGAUGGGCCCGCAUCUGAUUAGAUAGUUGGUGAGAUAACAGCCCACCAAGUCAACGAUCAGUAGCCGACCUGAGAGGGUGACCGGCCACAUUGGGACUGAGACACGGCCCAA